GUGUGGUGACGGCGUGCCUUUUGCAUAAUGAACCUACGAGUCACCGUUGCCGGCGAGGCUAAGUGCGAGGACGCACGGAGCCGAAGCGAAAGCGAGUCCGAACAGGGCGCCAUAUAGUCGGCAGUGGUGGACGCGAAACCAAGUGAUCUACCCUUGGGCAGGUUGAAGACGGGGUAACACCCGUUGGAGGACCGAACCGGUAAGCGUUGAAAAGCUUUCGGAUGACCUGAGGGUAGGAGUGAAAGGCCAAUCAAACUUGGAGAUAGCUCGUACUCCCCGAAAUGCAUUUAGGUGCAGCCUCGGGCGAAUUACCGUGGAGGUAGAGCGACUGAUAGGAUGCGAGGGCUUCACCGCCUAUCAAGUCCUGACAAACUCCGAAUGCCACGGCACGAACCCCGGGAGUGAGGGCGCGGGUGCUAAGGUCCGCGUCCGAGAGAGGAACAACUCAGACCACCGUCUAAGGCCCCUAAAUACGGGCUAAGUUGAAGACCAUAACGAGGUGGGACCGCCUGGACAGCUAGGAUGUUGGCUUGGAAGCAGCCAUUCAUUUGAAGAGUGCGUAACAGCUCACUAGUCGAGUGGUCCCGCAUGGAUAAUAAUCGGGCAUAAGUCCGUUGCCGAAGACGUGGAACUGUAGCGUAAUGCUAUGGUUGGUAGGGGAGCAUUCCGCAGGCCGCAGAAGGUCGAUCGCGAGGUCGGCUGGAGGUACCGGAAAAGCAAAUGUAGGUAUAAGUAACGAUAAGGAGGGCGAGAAACCCUCCCGCCGUAAGACCAAGGGUUCCUGAUCAACGCUAAUCGGAUCAGGGUAAGCCGGGACCUAAGGGGAAAGCCGCAAGGCGCACCCGAUGGACAAACAGUAAAGAUUCUGUUGCUUCUUACGCGAGCGAUGUGGAGACGGAGAAGUGAAACGCCCGCGCACUGACGGAAUAGUGCGUUGAAGGCCGUAGGUUAAGAGAGGGGCAGGCAAAUCCACCCCUUGAGCUGAAAGCCGACAGUACCGCGAGCCCCCGGGCGAGCGGACAGCGGCGGUAACCAUGCUCCCGAGAAAACCCGCUAAGCAUAUCGCGUGAGGACCCGUACCGUAAACCGACACAGGUGGUCGGGUAGAAUAUACCAAGGCGCUCGAGAGAUUCACGGUUAAGGAACUAGGCAAAUUGACCCCGUAACUUCGGGAUAAGGGGUCCCCGCUGCAAGGCGGGGCGCAGAGAAUAGGUCCAGGCAACUGUUUAACAAAAACACAGGGCUGUGCGAAGUUUAAAGACGAAGAAUACAGCCUGACACCUGCCCGGUGCCGGAAGGUUAAGAGGAGAUGUCACAGCAAUGGAAGCAUUGAAUUGAAGCCCCGGUAAACGGCGGCCGUAACUAUAACGGUCCUAAGGUAGCGAAAUUCCUUGUCGGGUAAGUUCCGACCUGCACGAAUGGUGUAAUGAUCCGGACACUGUCUCAACCGUGAGCUCGGUGAAAUUGUAGUAUCGGUGAAGAUGCCGAUUACCCGCAACGGGACGGAAAGACCCCGUGAACCUUUACUGCAGCUUAGCAUUGAUGCUGGGUGCGCGAUGUGUAGGAUAGUCAGGAGGCUGCGAAGCGGCGACGCCAGUCGUCGUGGAGCCGAUGUUGAAAUACUGACCUUCGCGCAUUUGGUAUCUAACUUGCACAGGCGAGGACACUGCUUGGUGGGUAGUUUGACUGGGGUGGUCGCCUCCAAAAGCGUAACGGAGGCUUCUAAAGGUGCGCUCAGGCCGAUUGGUAACCGGCCGCAGAGUGUAAUGGCACAAGCGCGCUUGACUGGGAGACCGACAAGUCGAACAGGUAGGAAACUAGAGCAUAGUGAUCCGGUGGUUCCGUAUGGAAGGGCCAUCGCUCAAAGGAUAAAAGGUACUCCGGGGAUAACAGGCUGAUCCCUCCCAAGA
rnacentral:rRNA from 1 species